GACGAACGCUGGCGGCGUGCCUAAUACAUGCAAGUAGAACGCUGAAGGAGGAGCUUGCUUCUCUGGAUGAGUUGCGAACGGGUGAGUAACGCGUAGGUAACCUGCCUGGUAGCGGGGGAUAACUAUUGGAAACGAUAGCUAAUACCGCAUAAUAGCAGUUGUUGCAUGACAACUGUUUGAAAGGUGCAAUUGCACCACUACCAGAUGGACCUGCGUUGUAUUAGCUAGUUGGUGGGGUAACGGCUCACCAAGGCGACGAUACAUAGCCGACCUGAGAGGGUGAUCGGCCACACUGAGACUGAGACACGGCCCAGACUCCUACGGGAGGCAGCAGUAGGGAAUCUUCGGCAAUGGACGGAAGUCUGACCGAGCAACGCCGCGUGAGUGAAGAAGGUUUUCGGAUCGUAAAGCUCUGUUGUAAGAGAAGAGCGAGUGUGAGAGUGGAAAGUUCACACUGUGACGGUAUCUUACCAGAAAGGUACGGCUAACUACGUG
rnacentral:rRNA from 1 species